CCUGGCUCAGAACGAACGCUGGCGGCAGGCUUAACACAUGCAAGUCGAACGCCCCGCAAGGGGAGUGGCAGACGGGUGAGUAACGCGUGGGAAUCUACCGUGCCCUGCGGAAUAGCUCCGGGAAACUGGAAUUAAUACCGCAUACGCCCUACGGGGGAAAGAUUUAUCGGGGUAUGAUGAGCCCGCGUUGGAUUAGCUAGUUGGUGGGGUAAAGGCCUACCAAGGCGACGAUCCAUAGCUGGUUURRGAGGWKRWYCAGCCRCAUUGGGACUGAGACACGGCCCAAACUCCUACGGGAGGCAGCAGUGGGGAAUAUUGGACAAUGGGCGCAAGCCUGAUCCAGCCAUGCCGCGUGAGUGAUGAAGGCCUUAGGGUUGUAAAGCUCUUUCACCGGAGAAGAUAAUGAC
rnacentral:rRNA from 1 species